rnacentral:rRNA from 1 species
UAGCAAUACUAGGUUGAGCCAGUGGCGAACGGGUGCGUAACACGUGAGUCAUCUGCCUGAAAGUGGGGGAUAGCUCGCCGAAAGGCGAAUUAAUACCGCAUGUGCCCCGAAGCAAUUCGGGGUAAAGCCGGGGCAACCUGGCGCUUUUAGAUGAGCUCGCGGCCUAUCAGCUUGUUGGUAGGGUAACGGCUUACCAAGGCUUCGACGGGUAGCUGGUCUGAGAGGACGACCAGCCACACUGGAACUGAGACACGGUCCAGACACCUACGGGUGGCAGCAGUCGAGAAUUUUUCUCAAUGGGGGAAACCCUGAAGGAGCGACGCCGCGUGGAGGAUGAAGGCUUUCGGGUUGUAAACUCCUGUCAUUUGGGAACAAUACCUUACGUUAACUGCGUGGAGGUUUGAUAGUACCAGAAGAGGAAGAGACGGCUAACUCUGUGCCAGCAGCCGCGGUAAUACAGAGGUCUCGAGCGUUGUUCGGAUUCAUUGGGCGUAAAGGGCGCGUAGGCUGCGGGGCAAGUCGGGUGUGAAAUCUCAGAGCUCAACUCUGAAACUGCACUCGAUACUGCUUUGCUAGAGGACUGGAGAGGAGAUUGGAAUUCACGGUGUAGCA